rnacentral:rRNA from 1 species
UACCAGCACCCCGAGUGGUCGGGACGAUUAUUGGGCCUAAAGCAUCCGUAGCCGGUUCUGCAAGUCCCCCGUUAAAUCCAGCUUCUCAACAGAUGGGCCGCGGAGGAUACUACAGAGCUAGGAGGCAGGAGAGGCAAGCGGUACUCAGUGGGUAGGGGUAAAAUCCGUUGAUCCAUUGAAGACCACCAGUGGCGAAGGCGGCUUGCCAGAAUGCGCUCGACGGUGAGGGAUGAAAGCUGGGGGAGCAAACCGG